CCGCCCAUUCACGCCGCCCGGCCGCCUUGUCCUCGCGGCGCCGCUCAGGCGGCUGCCAUGGCAACCGCGCCGUCACUCAGCGCGCGCGCCCAGCUGAUCAAUGCCUGCGAGGCCCGGCCGGCCCCGGCGCGCCCCAGCCCCGCCGCUCGGCCUGCGCGCACCUGCAGCCGCCGCGCGUCUUAAGUUUCCAGCGAUUUGGGGCAAGGAAGGAGGACCGAGAAGAAAAGAAAAGGGGGGCUGGUUGGGAGAGAAGAAAAAAAAAAUACACACAAUAAAAGCCAGGAGAGGGAGAAGAAAGAAAUCUUCCUUGUGCAGAGGAGGCGUCAUGUGGCUUAGAGGUUGCCAAAGCAAAAGGACGGCCCCCUCCCCUCGCCCUCCGGGAGGCUGGAGGAUGGGCAGCCGGUUCCCGCGGCUCCCAGUCUCUGCGCGCGGCCGACCCGUGUCUGCGUCCUCAUUACCACUACAAAGCCGGGCAGACGUCGCCUCUUUCCAGAGCUGCGCUUUCAGCUGCGAACAUCAAGAGGCCAGAAAACAUCCAAGUGGGCCCGAGGACGCAGACGCCGCCUCGGUCCUGGCUUUAUCUCUAGGGAAAGUUCCAUUUUAAGAACCAGAUGCCAACAUUCCCGGACAGUUUAUGGUAUCCGGAUCCCUCGGGGUGCGCAUCCGCGGCUUAGAGUGUUAGCAGCAAUUAUUUAUCGUCUGCCCUGGAGAGGAGGUCCUGAACACGACUGUCCUCGGCGGACCCUGGGGGUGGGGGUGGGGUGGGGACACACGACUGUUCCCGAUCCGGUUAUCUGGUUUAGCAGAGUUUGUUGUGGUUUUCGAGGAAACAGCAUCUGGGUUACAUAAGGAUUCAAGUUUUUGCUUUGCUUGUUUAUUUAAUACCUUGGCAAGAGGGAGCCCUCACUCUGAAACUAGAUAACCGAAUUUGGGUUUAAAACAGCCUUAGAUGAGGGGCAACGAGAGGGGAAGAAAAUGAAUCAAACCACGAAAAGCAAACAAGGGGAUGUUUAUUUUUCUCCCUUUGGGUAGUUUUGAAGACCUGCCUAACCUCUUACUUCUCGUCGCGCACAGCUAAUAAAUCGCAUUAACAAAG
ensembl:lncRNA